rnacentral:rRNA from 1 species
AGCGAACGUUUGCGGCGGGCCUAACACAUGCAAGUCGAACGCACUAGCAAUAGUGAGUGGCGCACGGGUGCGUAACACGUGGGUAAUCAACCCUUCAGCCUGGGAUAACGACUCGAAAGGGUCGCUAAUACCGGAUACGGCGCGAGAGGCUUCGGCUUCUCACGAGAAAGCCACGCAAGGGGCACUGAAGGACGAGCCUGCGGCCCAUCAGCUAGUUGGUGAGGUAAGAGCUCACCAAGGCUAAGACGGGUAGCUGGUCUGAGAGGGUGAUCAGCCACACUGGAACUGAGACACGGUCCAGACUCCUACGGGAGGCAGCAGUGGGGAAUAUUGCGCAAUGGGCGAAAGCCUGACGCAGCCACGCCGCGUGAGCGAUGAAGGCCUUCGGGUC